GAUGAACGCUGGCGGCGUGCCUAAUACAUGCAAGUCGAACGCAUUGUGGUUGAAAUGAUAUGAAGAACUUGUUCAGAUUUGAUUUUCAACAUUGCAAUGAGUGGCGAACGGGUGAGUAACACGUGGGAAACCUACCUCUUAGCAGGGGAUAACAUUUGGAAACAAAUGCUAAUACCGUAUAAUAAUUAAAACCGCAUGGUUUUAGUUUAAAGAUGGUCUUGCUAUCACUAAGAGAUGGUCCCGCGGUGUAUUAGUUAGUUGGUGAGGUAAUGGCUCACCAAGACAAUGAUACAUAGCCGAGUUGAGAGACUGACGGCCACAAUGGGACUGAGACACGG
rnacentral:rRNA from 1 species